CAUGAUCAGGGAUAUUCCUUUCCCUAACACAAAUUUCAUGAAAGAUUUAUCAGGAACUGGAAACUCAAUAGCCAGUAAGCACAAGUGCACUGUGUAAUGCUAAAAGGGUUUUCAAUAUACCGGUAAAUUUUCAGAGCUUCUAGGGCAACAGCACAAGAAACUGGAUGGCCAGAGUAUGUAAAGCCAUGAGCAAAACCGCCUGUAAGAGAAUGAAUCACAUCAGAUAUUUCUGGGCUAAUGAGAGUUGCUCCGAUUGGGACAUAGGCAGAUGAGAGAGCCUAACAUGGAGACAAGAUCUGGUUUGAUGUUGUACAUAUCAGACCCAAACAUGGUUCCCAGCCGUCCAAAUCCAGUAACGACCUGGAGUUGAUGGACAUCGUACUUCUUAAGUACCGCUUGAAUCUGUUGGCCGACAACACAGCAGCACAUGAUGAAUAGGUAGGAACAAGUUUAACAGUACAUGAUACAAAUUACUGAACUUAUAAAUGGUUUUGUACUUUUAUUUUCUACCCAGAAGGUACAAAAUAGUUACUACUAAUCUCAGCCAUUGAUUAAAAUGGGUGUUUUUGUACUUUGUUAAUUAAAUGAUUAGUAAUAUUUUGUAAUUUUGAUUUUUGGCAAUAAAGAUCACAAUAAAAGGACAAUAUUACUCCUUCAAAUUUUUACUAUAUAUAAUAUUGUUGAUAGUGUCAUUUAAUCCCAGUCGUCUGAUAAAAAUAGAUCAACAGUAUCGAUUAAACUAUAAUGAAAAAUGCGUCAGAGACAGACUAUAUGUAUACCCACCUUCUCAAAAUAUGUCUUCGGAGGAGGGAUGAUACCUCCAGCAGCCAUUACAGGUUCAGCAAUGAAAGCAGCAACCUGAGAGGUGAAGAAGAAUUAUAUCAGUAAAAUUUGGGUAUGCAGAUAAAAUGUAAGUUUUGGCAUGCAGAGGACUUUACUGUUUCUGGUCCUUC